CCUACGGGACGCAGCAGUGGGGGAUAUUGCACAAUGGGGGGAACCCUGAUGCAGCGACGCCGCGUGGGUGAAGAAGCGCCUCGGCGCGUAAAGCCCUGUCAGCAGGGAAGAAAAUGACGGUACCUGAAGAAGAAGCCCCGGCUAACUACGUGCCAGCAGCCGCGGUAAUACGUAGGGGGCAAGCGUUAUCCGGAUUUACUGGGUGUAAAGGGAGCGUAGACGGUUAUGCAAGUCUGAAGUGAAAGCCCGUGGCUCAACCGCGGAACUGCUUUGGAAACUGUUAAGCUGGAGUACUGGAGAGGCAA
rnacentral:rRNA from 1 species